UCAGCAGGUGUCAGGAGCUCUUUUACCGGAGCCUGAAGGAUUGUUAUAAGGGGACGGCUGAGGACUGAAGAAACACUACAGUGUGGCCCUGGAUCUCUAGCUGGAGUUUGUAGCCUGAGAAACACGAUACAAAAAAGAGACAAGCUACGCUAAGAUGAAGAACAUGACAGGAGGCCCAAGCCCCAAGUUCAGACAAGCAGACCUGCAGUCCUCAGCAGGCAAGUGACUAGGUCUGUGGACAUCGUAGCAACGUCACGAGUCACGUGGAACCUGCCGAAUCAGCCCGCACCCCGACAGCAAUCCACUGGACACCCCGCCCCCGGCUCCUCUGUACAACCACCUGGUUCCACACUACAAAGACACAGAGGACACCGGACCACCAGACCACUGUACUGGGUAAGUUGGAGUCACCUUCACCUCCCAUCAGGACUGGUACUAUCUCCAGGGGAAGGGCAGCUGGAACAUGCAAUACAACUCUGCAGAGCUCAACCCUACAGGAGGACAGGGAGCUCAACUUGGGACUUGCAGCCAGAAAUCUGCCUGAAUCUCGUGGGUCUGCGACUAGCUUGCUGAGACUCCUUGACUUAUAACUGCACACUGCAACCCACAUUGUCUAUUGUGACAGCAGAGACAUACCCUGAAAGAGGCCCUUCAUCUUCAUGGUUAUUUUUUAAUUCCCAAAAUUAGUUUUAUUAUUUUGGUUUUCUUUUCUUUUGCUCCUCUUAUCUUUAAUUUUUUUCCCUACUCUGCAAAUAUUUGUUUUUCUCUCCUUUUUUUCCUUUUCUUUUCUUCUUUCUUUUCUCUUUCCUUUCU
rnacentral:lncRNA from 1 species